rnacentral:rRNA from 1 species
GACGAACGCUGGCGGCGUGCCUAAUACAUGCAAGUCGAACGCUUUGAUUUUCACCGGAGCUUGCUCCACCGAAAAUCAAAGAGUGGCGGACGGGUGAGUAACACGUGGGCAACCUGCCCAACAGAGGGGGAUAACACUUGGAAACAGGUGCUAAUACCGCAUAAUUUGUUUUCCCGCAUGGGAGAAUAAUAAAAGACGCUUCGGUGUCACUGUUGGAUGGGCCCGCGCUGCAUUAGUUAGUUGGUGGGGUAAUGGCCUACCAAGACCGUGAUGCAUAGCCGACCUGAGAGGGUGAUCGGCCACACUGGGACUGAGACACGGCCCAGACUCCUACGGGAGGCAGCAGUAGGGAAUCUUCGGCAAUGGACGAAAGUCUGACCGAGCAACGCCGCGUGAGUGAAGAAGGUUUUCGGAUCGUAAAACUCUGUUGUUAGAAAAGAACAAGUGGGAGAGUAACUGUUCCCACCUUGACGGUAUCUAACCAGAAAGCCACGGCUAACUACGUGCCAGCCGCCGCGGU